UACGAAGGGGGCUAGCGUUGUUCGGAAUUACUGGGCGUAAAGCGUACGUAGGCGGCUUGGCAAGUUAGAGGUGAAAGCCCGGAGCUCAACUCCGGAAUAGCCUUUGAGACUGCCUCGCUUGAACGUCGGAGAGGUGAGUGGAAUUCCGAGUGUAGAGGUGAAAUUCGUAGAUAUUCGGAAGAACACCAGUGGCGAAGGCGGCUCACUGGACGACUGUUGACGCUGAGGUACGAAAGCGUGGGGAGCAAACAGG
rnacentral:rRNA from 1 species